rnacentral:rRNA from 1 species
CGACAAGCGGUGGAGCAUGUGGUUUAAUUCGAUGAUACGCGAGGAACCUUACCUGGGCUCAAAUGUAUGUUGACGUAUUCUGAAAGGGAUACUUCUUCGGACAAUAUACAAGGUGCUGCAUGGUUGUCGUCAGCUCGUGCCGUGAGGUGUCGGGUUAAGUCCCAUAACGAGCGCAACCCCUACCUUUAGUUGCCAUCAGGUAAUGCUGGGGACUCUAAAGGAACUGCCUACGCAAGUAGUGAGGAAGGCGGGGAUGACGUCAAAUCAGCACGGCCCUUACGUCCAGGGCUACACACGUGCUACAAUGGCCGAUACAGAGGGCAGCUACCUGGUGACAGGAUGCAAAUCUCCAAAGUCGGUCUCAGUUCGGAUCGGAGUCUGCAACCCGACUCCGUGAAGUUGGAUUCGCUAGUAAUCGCGCAUCAGCCAUGGCGCGGUGAAUACGUUCCCGGGCCUU